UAAACUUACAUAAUUUAAUUAAAACCCUCGGUUCCACGGAUUGUGUGUGAGUGUGGAAAACGUAAAUUUCUACUACAUAGUUUUGACGUGACUUUAUAUGUUUUUUAGUUAUUAAAGAUAAAUGCUGUUGACACAGUUGCCAGGAGCGGUGCUGAAAGUAAAGUACCUAGUUGAAAUACAGGUGCCCUUUCUGAGAACAAUAUUUUUAAUACAGUACUUAUAGGGAUGAUCACUUAAACUAUGGGUGGUAGUUAUUUUUACUGAAUCAAAUUACUAUAGUGUGAUACCAGUGGCUUAUUCAAUCACUUGAAUUGGAGGAACAAUCAAACACUCUAACCUUGAUUCAGUUCAGUAUUGUCAAUGGCUACCAUUUAAAUUAACCAAUAUUGAGUUACUUAAGCCAGUGAUCUAUGCAUCUUGGGAGUUAUUUAAGAUCAAAAUUAUUGAUAAUAAAAUAUGUUAAUUUUUAACAGCUGGUGUGGUCCAAGCAAAGUUGAUAUGUUGAUAUGUUGUUUACGCUAGACGCUAGAUGAAAUUAAACAAUAUAAAGUCAUAGAACUUCAAACUUUUUAUUAUAUCCCUGUCAAAUUGUUCUAAAGGUUAACUAAAAAAAAUAUUUUUAUUAUAAUUUCCUAUUGUUGGUUAAUGCAAUUGGAAUUUUAAUUUUAACUUAUUAGUUGUUAUGGACUGAUUUAGUAAUUAAUUUAAAAAAAAACUAAUUUUGUUUGUAAAGCAGGAGGGCCGAAGUAAUGUAAUGUGAUAAAAAUAUUAUCAAGUAAUGCGAAUGUAAUUAAAAAAGAAAAUAUUUAAUUUAAAUCUUUUUGAAAGUAAUUUGCCUAACACUUUUUACUAUACUAUAUGUAUAGGUAUACACUUUUUAUUAAUUGUAUUAAUUUAAUUAUACGAGU